GUUGGCCCAUCGAACAGCGAGUACCUCGGCAUCGCGUACCCACGAACGGCUCCCUCAAGCACUUAUACGAAGAGGGGUACGGUCAGCAUCACUGCCACGAUUUCUUUCGUUCCUUCUCUGGCGCACGAGCAUACAGAUUCUGGUGUGUUCUUUGCUUCUGUGCCUUUGUGCUCCAGCUGCUUGCACUCACGCCGGUGAGGUGGGAGGAGAGCAGCGCGUGCGGAAGCGGACCCCCCCCUCCUUAACCUCAUCGCUGUCACUAUCGACGAAGAAGGCGCGAUCGAAGUCUUGUGGCGACUUCCCAAAGCCACGACCACCUCAGCGACUCACACCCACCAUCCUUUCCCUCCCCCAAGCCUGGCGUGUUUGUGUGUGUGUGUGUUUGCGCGUGCGUACGUGCGGUGCGUGUCCUUUCCUGUCGCCUCACUUCUCCCACGCCCGUCACUCCAGACAGACAUACACACACACACACACACACACGCCACCCUCUCUCCUCUCCCUUCUCCCCCCUCCUUCUUUCCCACCUCUGCUUUCUGUUGUUGUUGCGUCUCUCUUGUAUUUGUUUCCACUUUGAAAGCGACUCGCUCUCGCGCUCGCUCCGUGUCCGUGUGUGGACGUGCGCCCCCCCCCUCCCCCCCUCCCCCCAUGUAAAGCGGCCGUUGGCCGUGCCCCUGCGCUUUGUACUGCUGAUUCCUUUCACGUGUCCCCCUCCACCACCACCACCACCACCCAAUACAGCCCGUACGCUGCCACCCCUGCUGCCUGCUGCCUGCUGCCUGCUUCGCUUUGUGGUGGUGGUGGUUCUUUUCACGGCUCUUCGUUUGCUUGCUUCUUUCGCUUGUGGCUGUUGUUGCUCGACGCAUCCGUCUGUCAUGUCGAGUCACCCGUUCGACCGCUCGACCAGGCGGACGCACUCGCCGUCGAAAAUAUUCCCGAACACCAAUUCGCAUGCGCCUCGCUCGCCCUUCUCUUCACCAACCCUACAACGCCAUGACGACCCGUUCAAGAACAGCGAGAACAUUCUCUUCAGCACCUUCGGCGCCGGUAGUGUCUCAGCAGCCACCCCAGCGACUGCCGCGGCAGCGUCAUCCUCGUCGCUGUCACCCCUGUUCAGAGCCAGUGAAAACGGCAGCAGCUACUGCGGUAACGACAGUGGCGAUCAGCACGCUGGUGCGGUAACACCAAAGACUUCACCGCCGGCGCAGCCAACCCUCUCGUCCGAGCGCUCUGGUGCGCGAUCAGCGCUGCCAGACGCGUUGGAGCGAAUCGCGCGCCGGCUCUCCACACUCAUCACCACCUCACCAGCGCAUGAGCCUACAACCGCGGCGGUGCCUGAAAAGUCACCAGCGAGCCCGGUUGAAUGGGCGAGUGCCCCUGCCACGGUAGAGGAUGCAACUACGUCAAUGGGGGCCGGCAGCCGUAGUACUGGCGGCGGCGGUACGACGAGGUCUUCCACCGAGAGCCGCACCACAAUACCACUGCCGUGCGUGCGACUCCCCCCUAAGAUUAGCACAGCACCUUCACCGCCUGCCCCGCCAGCGUUGCAGCCACGGCGCGCCCAUCAGAUCCACGAGCCCUUCCCCGAUCGCCGACCGGCCAUACCAUGGAAGCUGCGGCACCCCACGAGCCCCCCUCACUCGCGGCCGUCGGCGGCGAUGGCCGAACGCCCGUCUACGCUCGCCAUCAGCGAAGCCAAGACCAACAACCGCCUGCCCGACCCUCUGCGCAGUCCAACAGACCGAACCCGGGAGCACCUGCUCUCUAACAGAAGCUUUUCCUCAGUGUUGGAGGCGGUGGCAGGCGGCACUAGCCUGUCAAGCACGCCGGACUUCCAAGAGGAAGAAGGGGUACAGCACAAGCGGACGUUUGACUUCUUCGGUGCGACGCCACGCAGCGGAGAGUUUUUGCCGCUGAUCGAGUGGCUGCUGCGCCGUGGCGAGCGCGGUGACGUCGGUGCCCCGGCGGCAUCGCAGAAGGACGGCGACGAGUACACGCAGGCGAGCUUCUUCAACGAGGACUACAUCAUGAAGCUGUGCGCUGCGGCGACGGCGGUGCUAGUGAAGGAGCCAACGCUGCUGGAGCUGGAGGUGGUAGCGCACGACACGCUGGUGGUGGUGGGCGACAUCCACGGCCAGUUCCAGGACCUCUACACGAGCGUGCUCUGCCAGCAGUACGACCGGCGCCGGUGCAACCCCGACGGACGCGACCGCCGCUUCCUGUUCAUGGGUGACUACGUGGACCGCGGCCCGCACAGCCUGGAGGUGGUGCUGCUGCUGCUGGCACUGAAGGUGGAAUACCCGACGCUAGUUUACCUGACGCGUGGCAACCACGAGGAGGAGAAGACGUCGCGCGUGUACGGCUUCUUGACGGAGGCGACGUCGUCGCUGGGCGCCGCGGCCGGGACGGCGGUGUGGAGCGCCGUGAACAAGGUGUUCCUCGACCUACCGCUGGCCGCGAUUGUGCAGACACUGUACAUGCGCUUCUUUGUGACGCACGGCGGCCUCUCGCCGGUUUUGCAGAAUGUGGAGGAUAUCUGCGCCCUGGAGCGGCACAAUUACAGCUGCGGCAACAUCACGGCCGCGGAGGAUGACCUUAUCGCAGGGCUUCUCUGGUCGGACCCAACGAACGAGGUGGCCAUGUACGAGCAGAACCCUCGCGGCUGCGGCUUCUUGUUUGGCCCAUCAGCCUCGAACCGAUUCUGCGCCGACAACAACUUCGAUUUUAUCUGCCGCGCGCACCAGGUGGCGAUGGAGGGCCACAUGUGGACUCACAACGACCGCGUCUUGACGAUCUUCUCCGCACCGAAUUACUGCGGUGUCAACGGGAAUAAGGGAGCCGUUCUUCUUAUAAAGGGGUGCUCCCGGCGGCCCAUAGUGCAGCAGUACGACAGCGCAGAAAAGAACGAGACCGCGCCAGCCCGCAAGACGGACUUUGCGUACGCUCACAUGUUCACAUGAUGUGUAUCGGAACAUAUCUGCUGUUGUAUGAAAGCGAAGAAAAGGAAAGGGUGGAGCGAAUAUAGGUAUGUGCGUUGGUGAAUGACAUCAUAGUCGGCGCACAGCAGCCGUACGAGUUCCUGCCCACCCUCUAAGGCUCGAGGCCUCUCCCAUGCUCCAUCACACACACACACACACACACACGCAUAAUACAGGCCCACCUUCCUCUCCAUACACACCGAGUACAAGCACACACAGGCAUACCGUAUACACCUAUAGCCCACGUGCAUACGCAGCGGCCUGUGUGCUGGGCUCCCUUCCUUCCCUUCCUUUGGCUUUGUUGUUGUAAUCCCCUCCCCCACCCCCGCUCACCUCCCUCUCCCUCCCUCCCGCGCUGUUGAGUUUGUGAGGAUGAUGUUGUCUUCUCGCGCUCUUCUCUCUUACAAGCUUCUAUAUAUAUAUAUCUACAUGCGCGUGUGUGCGUGUGUGGCUAAUUAUGUUCUCUGCCUGUGAACGCUCGAAAGAGUGCGGGCUGCGGACGACGAUCGGUGAUGAUGGUGGUGGUGGACGGGUGGUGAUGGCAACGGCGACUCGCAGCGGUCGACAGGAACGUACCGCGCUCACGUGUUGUUGUAACUCAGUUCGCCCUCCCCGUCGUCUCCGCGACGCCCUUAUUUUGUCCCUCACCUCUUGCGCUUUCUUUGGUUCUUGUCUCACAUGGAGGAACGCCUCCACCUCCCCCCCCCCCUGCUGAGCCUCCCACUAGAAGAUGUCGACCAGUGUGAUCCCUCAGUAGUGAAGUUGCGUGUGCUGCUGCUGAUGGCAAAGGAGGAGGGAGGAGAGGGAAGGGGAAGAGUGCGGUCGUUUGUGCGGAUCGUCGCAUGCCCAGACCCACUCCCCUCUCACAACUCACGCUCGUUUUUGUAGAGGAACGCACAGCAGUUGCGACCUCAGUAUGCUUGUGCCGUCAAGCCGGUGAAGGAGAAGGCGUAUGUGGGUGGCAUGCAUACGGAACAGGGAGUCGAUUGCGAAGCGGAGUGGCUGCUGCUUUACAACCUGCUUUAGACCACCACCCAACAUGCCUCUACACAGCAACUGCAGAGGGUCCUCUGCGCGCGCCGUCUCACAAGGUUUACUUCGCUGACCUCUUUUUUCUGCACCGCUUUCCUAACAGUGUGUUUCCUACUUCCUAUUCUCUUCUGUUCUCUCCUCUUCGCCGGCCUCCCGGAUGAUGCAG
rnacentral:misc_RNA from 1 species